rnacentral:misc_RNA from 1 species
GUGAAUCAUCGAAUCUUUGAACGCAUAUUGCGCCCAAGACUUCGGUCGAGGGCAUGUCUGCGUCAGCGUCGGUAUAUACCCUCGCUUCCCUCCUGUUUGUAUGAACAUGGGGUCGGCCCAGCGCUUGCUGCCGGGCUUGGAAGCGGAUCUGGCUUUCCCACUGCUUCAGUGGGUUUGCCGAAAAGCAGAGGCUAGAGCGAGGACCUGUCAUGGGCUCAACUGGAUAGGUAGAAGCGGUGCUGCAAAGCGCUGCCAAUACACGAAAGUUGGUGCCUUGGACCUCGCUGGCGGCCAGCAGGA